CUAUCUGCAGAGUUUGAUCAUGGCUCAGAUUGAACGCUGGCGGCAGGCUUAACACAUGCAAGUCGAGCGGAGAGAGGUAGCUUGCUACUGAUCUUAGCGGCGGACGGGUGAGUAAUGCUUAGGAAUCUGCCUAUUAGUGGGGGACAACAUCUCGAAAGGGAUGCUAAUACCGCAUACGUCCUACGGGAGAAAGCAGGGGAUCUUCGGACCUUGCGCUAAUAGAUGAGCCUAAGUCGGAUUAGCUAGUUGGUGGGGUAAAGGCCUACCAAGGCGACGAUCAUAGCGGGUCUGAGAGGAUGUCCGACACACUGAUGNCCGCCA
rnacentral:rRNA from 1 species